rnacentral:rRNA from 1 species
UACGUAGGGACCAAGCGUUGUUCGGAUUUACUGGGCGUAAAGGGCGCGUAGGCGGCAAUUCAAGUCAGUUGUGAAAUCUCCGAGCUUAACUCGGAACGGUCAACUGAUACUGUUUUGCUAGAGUACAGAAGGGGCAAUCGGAAUUCUUGGUGUAGCGGUGAAAUGCGUAGAUAUCAAGAGGAACACCUGAGGUGAAGACGGGUUGCUGGGCUGAUACUGACGCUGGAGGCGCGAAAGCUAGGGUAGCAAACAGG